UACAGAGGGUGCAAGCGUUGCUCGGAAUCAUUGGGCGUAAAGGGCAGGUAGGUGGUCUCAUUUGUCUGGGGUGAAAGCCUUGAGCUUAACUCAAGAAGUGCCCCGGAAACGGUGAGACUGGAGUCUUGGAGAGGGUCGUGGAAUUCCCGGUGUAGCGGUGAAAUGCGCAGAUAUCGGGAGGAACACCGGUGGCGAAGGCGGUUCUCUGGGCCUGUACUGACGCUGAGGAGCGAAAGCGUGGGGAGCAAACAGG
rnacentral:rRNA from 1 species